GAUUAACGCUGGCGGCGUGCAUAACACAUGCAAGUCGAACGAUGAAACUUUACUGACUUCUUCGGAAUGAUUUAAAGCGGAUUAGUGGCGAACGGGUGAGUAACGCGUGAGUAACCUGCCUUACACAAGGGGAUAGCCUCUGGAAACGGAGAAUAAUACCCUAUGAAACCAGACAAUCGCAUGAUAAUCUGGUCAAAAUGUUUAGUGGUGUAAGAUGGACUUGCGUCUGAUUAGCUAGUUGGUGAGAUAAAAGCUCACCAAGGCAACGAUCAGUAGCCGGCUUGAGAGAGUGUACGGCCACAUUGGGACUGAGACACGGCCCAGACUCCUACGGGAGGCAGAAGUGGGGAAUUGUGCACAAUGGGGGAAACCCUGAUGCAGCGACGCCGCGUGAUUUAGAAGGCCUUCGGGUUGUAAAAAUCUUUUGUAUAGGAAGAAAAUGACAGUACUAUACGAAUAAGGUCCGGCUAAUUACGUG
rnacentral:rRNA from 1 species